rnacentral:rRNA from 1 species
UUAUGGUUGAUCCCGCCGGAGGUCACUGCUAUUGGGAUCCGACUAAGCCAUGCGAGUCGAGAGGGUUCGGCCCUCGGCAAACUGCUCAGUAACACGUGGAUAAUCUGCCCUUAGGUGGAGGAUAACCUCGGGAAACUGAGAAUAAUACUCCAUAGAUCUAGGAUGCUGGAAUGCACUUAGAUUGAAAGUUCCGACGCCUAAGGAUGAGUCUGCGGACUAUCAGGUAGUAGUCAGGGUAAAGGCCUGACUAGCCUACGACGGAUACGGGUUGUGAGAGCAAUAACCCGGAGACGAUAUCUGAGACACGAUAUCGGGCCCUACGGGGCGCAGCAGGCGCGAAAACUUCACAAUGUGCGAAAGCACGAUGAGGGGAUCCCAAGUGCUUGCUCGUAAGAGUAAGCUGUUUUUAUGUUUAAAAAGCAUAGAGAGUAAGGGCUGGGUAAGACGGGUGCCAGCCGCCGCGGUAA